rnacentral:lncRNA from 1 species
AGCCUCUCCUCACCUGUGGACCUCCCAGCCACCCUCCCUCUGCAAACUUUCAUGAGUCCGGAUGUGAGAUCUCUCCCUGACCUGAGCCCUCCAGCCGUCCUGCCGUUUAACCCAGUGUCCCAGAAGCGUGGCAGGUGACAGUCCUCUCCUCGCAGCAUAGCACAAGAGAAAGGGUCCAGAACUGAAACGUCAGUGUCUGGAUUCCAUCAGAGCCAGCUCCUCCUGCUUGUGACCUUGACCCAUCUAUCAGUCCUCCUUUAUUCCACACCCUCCCCUUGGAGGUUUAUUGCACACCUCCUCUCCUUCAGCUGGGGCCGUGUCAUCUCUUCCCACGGACUACCUCCAUCAUCGCUGUAACCAAGCCUGACUCAGGGAGAAGGGAGUGAGACAUCUCUGGGCAGCCAGCACAGUAGAAGAAGUGGAUGGGCACUGGUUCUACUAGCCAGAGGUCUAGGAAGCAAGACGUGUUCUGGCUGAUCGAGCAGAUGGAAGCUUCAAGGGUUUGGGUUCACGCCAUCCAGUAUGGGAGCCACUGGCCACAUGUAGCUACUGAGCGCUCACAGCGUGGCUAGUUCAAAUGGAGAUGUGCUCUCGCGGUAACAUACAGACUGGCUUUCAAAGACUUAGCAUGAACAAAAGAAUGUAAGCUAUCUCAGUAAUAAUUUUUUACAUUGAUUGUAUGUUGAAAUAGUAUCUCAGACACACC